rnacentral:rRNA from 1 species
GACGAACGCUGGCGGCGUGCCUAAUACAUGCAAGUAGAACGCUGAAGGAGGAGCUUGCUUCCCUGGAUGAGUUGCGAACGGGUGAGUAACGCGUAGGUAACCUGCCUGGUAGCGGGGGAUAACUAUUGGAAACGAUAGCUAAUACCGCAUAAUAGUAGAUGUUGCAUGACAUUUGCUUAAAAGGUGCAAUUGCAUCACUACCAGAUGGACCUUCGUUGUAUUAGCUAGUUGGUGAGGUAACGGCUGACCAAGGCAACGAUACAUAGACGGCCCGGGAGGGGGGUCGGCCACACUGGGACUGGGACCAGGCCCAGACUCCCACGGGAGGCAGCAGUAGGGAAUCCUCGGCAAUUGACGGAAGUCUGACCGGGCAACGCCGCGUGAGUGAAGAAGGGUUUCGGAUCGUAAAGCUCUGUUGUAAGAGAAGAACGAGUGGGAGAGUGGAAAGUUCACACUGUGACGGUAUCUUACCAGAAAGGGACGGCUAACUACGUG